rnacentral:rRNA from 1 species
GACGAACCGUGCGAACGUUAUUCGGAAUCACUGGGCUUAAAGCGCGCGUAGGCGGCGUCGUAAGUCAGGGGUGAAAUCCCAACGGCUCAACCGUGGAAUUGCCUUUGAUACUGCGAUGCUCGAGGGAGGUAGGGGCAAGUGGAACUUCCAGUGGAGCGGUGAAAUGUGUUGAGAUUGGAAGGAACGCCGGCGGCGAAAGCGACUUGCUGGAUCUCUUCUGACGCUGAGGCGCGAAAGCUAGGGUAGCGAACGGG